UGAGACUUUUCUUGUUUAUUCAGGUAGGCCAGUAUUGCUAUAAACUUCCCUCAUAGUACCGCUUUCACUGUAUCCCACAGAUUGUGGUAUGUUGUAUUCUCAUUUUCAUUUGUGUGUAGGACAUUUUUGA